rnacentral:rRNA from 1 species
ACGCUCGACACCUACGGGGGCAGCAGUGGGGAAUAUUGCACAAUGGGGGGAACCCUGAUGCAGCGACGCCGCGUGAGUGAAGAAGUACUUCGGUAUGUAAAGCUCUAUCAGCAGGGAAGAAAAUGACGGUACCUGACUAAGAAGCCCCGGCUAACUACGUGCCAACAGCCGCCGGUAAGUACUGAGCGGGCGUGGCGAAGGACG